AAAACCAAAUGGAGUGGUGGAGAGGGCAACCCUACCUCUUCCUCUGCUGUUCCAAGCUCAGGGAGAGGUCCAAGGGGCGUGGGUGCUAUAUAGAAUAGGCACAAUCGCAAAAACACCCCUGCAGUUCGAACUGCUCAGAAACUGCACUGCGUACCGGUACACGAGCCCGCGUACCGGUACACAACCCACGAAAAUGCCAAACCCGAGCCUCGGGUUCGCUGGGAAGUGUUCUGUGUACCGGUACACGAGCUUGUACCGGUACAGCCAUCAACCCAGUACCGGUACAGCAAGCAAUCCCGUACCGGUACACGGCCAGCUGAUGACUACCCGAGAGCUGACCAAAAAUCCGACUUUUCGGAUUUUGGUGCCAAGCUUAAAACCUCCAUUCUCG
rnacentral:lncRNA from 1 species